GGAAACAGAUGGUGAUAACGAUGUCAAGGUGAGGGGAGAAACGUCCGGAAGCAGUAACCAUCAAUGAGAUAGAGGCUAUGGGCUUUAGUUCGUCUUCUAAACGGCUGGAAUCCCCGAACUUUGACAGAAUUCUACACAAAGACGAUAAAAACGUUAGAUGUCGUUGCCAACAACAUACAUGGUGAGAGGAGACAUGAAAUGUUUGAAACCUACCUUAAAACUACCUAAAUCCAAGACCUCGCCUGAGGAAGAGAGAAGUUUCAUAAGAAUUUAUGUUCCUUUCCUGCUUACAUUCUGGAAGUACUGAAAAUAUGGCUUCAAUAUGCGGACAAAGAGGCUACCCUGAAAAAUCUUUGUAAAGCUUUAGAAAUGGCAAGUUUUAAUGAUGUUGUAGUCAAGGUCCUAGAUUUGCCAGAAAACCAGCCAGGCCUGGGUAAUGUAGAUGAAUGUUAAAGAUAUAUAAGAUUUUACACGAGUUGUCAUUUGAUAGCUAACAUUAAACAAAUCUGAUAAAGUAUUAUAUAAAUGGCGCCUUUGUGGAGCUAUAUCGCAUUGUUCGGACAACUUUAACUCUUAUCAUUGUAGAUAUCUUAAAUGGACUUGUCUGUCUUUCAACAUUUACAUAAUUAUUCAUCAAAUUUAGUCAAAAUUUCAAAAUAUUUACUGACUACAUUAGUGCAUACCAUGAUCCGACGGCUCGAGUGUCCCGGUAGGUUCUGGUCUGCACGGGUAGGAUGAGUAGAAUCUGUUGCCACCAGGAUCCGGUUGUUCAAACAUUGGUUAGUGUUAAUUUUAACCAACGUUUUGAACAAACCGGUCCAGCAGGCCAAGGGUUAAGUUAAUGUAAGUCCAUAGCGUCAACGAAUGUAAGAUUUUUAUCACAUUAUAUGCCAGAACAUUCCGAAAACAACAACAUCUUAAUGACAGUUUCACGACAUAUAAUUAUAUUUAACGUUUGUGAUAUAAAGAAAAUGGUUAUGUUAGAUUAAAACACAAGGCGUCAUAUGAUUAAUUUAUCGUUCUGGUAGUUGAUACAAAAUAUUAUGUUUAAAGUUCUAACAAUAAGAUAAUGAUUGUAGGUUUUUUCUUGCUAUUGAAUCAAUUACAGUAUUAAAAAAUAAUUAAAAAGUCAUUACAUGUAUUUGUUAACAAUUUUGAAAAGAAAUAAACAUUUUCUUAUCGUUAUUAGACUGAAUAGGGCUAAAAUAUUUUUGGUCGUAUGUUAUCAUUUGUUAAAAUAUGGCUACAAAAAUAUUUUGAUGUUAUCUUUUGCUUCAAAUAUAGGACUAAAACUGUUGUUUUUAUUAUGGCCCGUUGUUAUAACAAAACAAUCAUUAUCUAAAUUUUCCAAGUUUGGUCACUUUUUGCUCAGGCUAUAACACAUAAGAAUUCCAUUAAUUGUUUUUUAUCCAAUUUGUAAAUAUAUGAUAUUACUAUUAUUUAUCAGUGUAUAUUAUAUUUAGUCAGGAAAUUAUUCAUUUGUUAAUAAUUUACGUAGUUUAUAUAUGUAUUAGAUAUGUGCACUAUCAUUGAUGGAUUUUAGUUUGACUAAUAUUUGAUAUUUAGUAGUGAUGAUUUCGUUUAGUACUAUGUGAUUGUUAGUUAGUACUGUAAGUACACAUUGUUCAGUUGUUUAUAGCUUUACUCACUGCAUCUAGUCGAAAAUCUUUACGUUACUUUAUUUCAUCUUUUCUUUGCUCAAUAUAACUCAAUCCAUAAUUUACAGCAGCAAUGUCCCUUUCGAAUAUAGAAUCUCAUUCCGGUUUAUUUUAUUGUUUGUUAUAUUAAUAAAGUAGGAUGUCCCUCUAAGUACCGCGGUACUUAUUUUUGAACUUAUUUUUUUCAGCUAAUUGAACAAUUAAAAUUAAUACUCUUACGGUCAUUUGCUCAGAUUGACAUGUUUCUAAGAUCUGCUUCGUAUGCAAAUUUGUCUAUGACCAGAUUAGUACCACGUUGUCAUCGGCAAUACGGUAUAUCAGCGGAAAUUACUUAAUUUACAAUAACAAAUUUUAAUAAUUAUGUCUCUAUUUGAUAUUUAACCAUAAAAAAUAUCAUUGAUUAUGAAUGUCAAUAAGAUCUGUUUAAAUAUGAAUGUAUUUCAUUUAUUAAGUAAAUUACUGAAAUUGUAGUAAAUAAAAUAGAUGUACAGAGUUACUCAGAGUUGUCUGUACUGAUACUUCUGCUUGUUUUAUUUUUUGUAAAA